rnacentral:pre_miRNA from 1 species
AUGUUACUCCCUCCGUUCCAAAUUACUCGUCGGAGAAAUGGAUAUAUCUAGAACUAAAAUACAUUUAGAUACAUCCAUACCCGCGACAAGUAAUUCAGAAUGGAGGGAGUACAUC